ensembl:antisense_RNA anr-41 ncRNA
UCUGCUGAUAUUCCACGUUAAAUCCUUUUUCUGAACAAUCAAUACCUCAAUUGUCAGCAAUGCCCAAAGUACUGGUCCAAUGCAUUUUGAGGUUUUCAGAAUAUUCUGGAUAAUGCCACGUGUGAAAAAGAACUCAUGGAUAUCGAAAGUUGCGCAAUUCUCUAGAAUCUUCUUGAAGCAAUCUAUCAUCAUUGUAUCUACUGAACUCCAAAAUCCACGUGGAAAUGUAUGACUCUCGGAAAGGAAUUGUAAUUGGGCAAGGAAUGAAAAUGCUUGGUAUGCUCUGUUGUCUUCCCACCGGUUUGGCAUUUUUCUGAAAUUAAAAUGUAUAUUUAAAUUUAAGGAAACAUUUGAACUAAUACUCACUUAAUAUCGGAAAAGAACAGAUCGUCAUGAAAAAUUUUAAGCAUUUCAUAAUUCUGAAAUCGUGUAAGUUGGACUGAAAUAUAUAAAAUCUUGAGUUGUGCUGUUU